CCUCGCAUCGCAGCACCCAUCGUUUGUCGGGUUCUCUCGCCUUCGCUCUCUGCUUUCCUCCACCGCUCAACGGAAUCAACCACACGGACCUCACCUCCUCCUCCCCCAUCCCAAUUUGACGGGAAAUCGGAGGCCUCCCUGUUAGUCGACGCAUGCGACCGAAGUAUUCCGUUCCUUGUAUGCGAUUGGGUUGAAAUGUCGCAAUCUUCAUGCGGUUGCCGUACAUGCCCGUGAUCUUAAUUGGUGCUCAUCAGAUGGACCCUUUUGAAGUGGAAGGGGACUCGAGGAAAUCUAAUAAGCCCAAAUAUUCUAAGUUUACACAACAGGAGCUUCCAGCAUGCAAACCACUGCUAACUCCUGGAAUUGUCGUUUCUGCCUUCUCACUAAUUGGCAUCCUAUUUGUCCCAAUUGGUCUCGCAUCGCUUUCUGCAUCACAAGAGAUUGUUGAGCUGAUAGACAGAUACGAUACAAGCUGUGUUCCCAUGACUGACAAGGUUGGGUUCAUCCAGAACUCCAAGACUGACAAAACGUGCACAAGAACACUAACUGUGCCUAAGCAGAUGAAGAGCCCAAUCUACGUAUACUACCAGAUCGGUGACUUCUAUCAAAACCAUAGGCGGUAUGUGAAAAGUCGCAGUGAUAAACAAUUGCGGUAUAAAGAAGCUGCGGGCUUGACAAAAAAUUGUGAGCCUGAAGGUAAUAGUGCUGAUGGUGCUCCAAUCAUUCCAUGUGGCCUCAUUGCUUGGAGUUUGUUCAAUGAUACGUAUACAAUUUCGGUCAACAAGAAGGCUAUUGAAGUGAAUAAAAAGGGUAUAGCUUGGCAGAGUGACAAGAAUAAUAAAUUUGGCAGUGAUGUUUAUCCUAGUAAUUUUCAGAAGGGAAAUAUUAUAGGUGGUGCUAAGCUAAAUGAGAGCAUACCGUUAAGUGAGCAAGAAGAUCUCAUUGUUUGGAUGAGAACUGCUGCCCUCCCAACUUUCAGAAAGCUUUACGGCAGAAUUGAGGCAGAUAUUAUGGCAAAUGAUCAACUAACAGUGGUUAUACAGAACAACUAUAACACAUAUAGUUUUGGAGGGUCGAAAGUGUUGGUCCUUUCAACGACAUCUUGGAUUGGAGGCAAAAAUAACUUCAUUGGUGUUGCAUAUCUGACUAUAGGUGGCUUGUGCCUUUUCCUUGCAGUGGGAUUCAUAGUUCUCUACAUGUUUAAGCCAAGGGCUCUUGGAGACCCCUCAUACUUGUCAUGGAAUAGAGAUAUCCUGGACUAGAAUCUUCUCUUUGUGAGAAAAGAAGAGUUUUAAUAGGAGCUUCAUAUUUCGGGUUUGCUUCAAGUUAUGUUCCAUGAAGAUAAUAGUGUCAUCCACAUAUUGCAGGAUUGACAACCCGCCAUCCACCAAAUGAGAAGGACCCCUUGGACUAUGCUCUCAGCUUGUGUCCUGCAUUGCUCACCUCGAAGAAUGGCACUGCAGACAAAGGUGCAAACAAUAUUAUUCCGAUCAGUUAGGCAUGCCAUGCAUAGAAAAAGAAGAAAUGAACUAGAAAUACUUCGAAAGAGACUGAUGCUGUCAUGACCUAUUUAUUCGACUCAAGGAAAGAAAGCACAAAGAAAAAUAGUGGGCUUUCAUAACCUUGUUUCCCCUUUUUUUCUCUUAAAGAAAGUUCUGUACUGAUAUGCACCUUGGUGCACCGGAAUAAAACUGAUGAUAAGUGAACAUAUGCGAAAAGUUUAGUCAA